rnacentral:rRNA from 1 species
CAAGUCGAACGCUUCUUCCUCCCGAGUGCUUGCACUCAAUUGGAAAGAGGAGUGGCGGACGGGUGAGUAACACGUGGGUAACCUACCCAUCAGAGGGGGAUAACACUUGGAAACAGGUGCUAAUACCGCAUAACAGUUUAUGCCGCAUGGCAUAAGAGUGAAAGGCGCUUUCGGGUGUCGCUGAUGGAUGGACCCGCGGUGCAUUAGCUAGUUGGUGAGGUAACGGCUCACCAAGGCCACGAUGCAUAGCCGACCUGAGAGGGUGAUCGGCCACACUGGGACUGAGACACGGCCCAGACUCCUACGGGAGGCAGCAGUAGGGAAUCUUCGGCAAUGGACGAAAGUCUGACCGAGCAACGCCGCGUGAGUGAAGAAGGUUUUCGGAUCGUAAAACUCUGUUGUUAGAGAAGAACAAGGACGUUAGUAACUGAACGUCCCCUGACGGUAUCUAACCAGAAAGCCACGGCUAACUACGUGCCAGCAGCCGCGGUAAUACGUAGGUGGCAAGCGUUGUCCGGAUUUAUUGGGCGUAAAGCGAGCGCAGGCGGUUUCUUAAGUCUGAUGUGAAAGCCCCCGGCUCAACCGGGGAGGGUCAUUGGAAACUGGGAGACUUGAGUGCAGAAGAGGAGAGUGGAAUUCCAUGUGUAGCGGUGAAAUGCGUAGAUAUAUGGAGGAACACCAGUGGCGAAGGCGGCUCUCUGGUCUGUAACUGACGCUGAGGCUCG